GACACUUUGGCCGAGUGGUUAAGGCGAUGCCCUGCUAUUGGAUGUGCAAUUGUGAGGCAUUACAUUCGUGUGCGCAGGUUCGAAUCCUGCAGGUGUCG